UGGGUUGUCGCCAAGCGGUAAGGCACAGGGUUUUGAUCCCUGCAUUCGCAGGUUCGAAUCCUGCCAGCCCAG
rnacentral:tRNA from 2 species